UAAGCGGAGGAAAAGAAACUAACAAGGAUUCCCCUAGUAACUGCGAGUGAAGCGGGAAAAGCUCAAAUUUGGAAUCUGGUGGUCUUUGGCCAUCCGAGUUGUAAUUUAGAGAAGCGUCUUCCGCGCUGGACCGUGCACAAGUCUCCUGGAAUGGAGCGUCAUAGAGGGGUGAGAAUCCCGUCUUUGGCACGGAAUNNAGGGCUUCUGUGAUGCGCUCUCGACGAGUCGAGUUGUUUGGGAAUGCAGCUCAAAAUGGGUGGUGAACUCCAUCUAAAGCUAAAUAUUGGCGAGAGACCGAUAGCGAACAAGUACCGUGAGGGAAAGAUGAAAAGCACUUUGGAAAGAGAGUGAAACAGUACGUGAAAUUGUUGAAAGGGAAACGCUUGAAGUCAGUCGCGUCGACCGAGACUCAGCCUUGCCUCGGCUUGGUGUACUUCUCGGCUUGACGGGUCAGCAUCGAUUUCGAUCCUCGGAUAAUGGCAAGGGAAAGGUAGCACCUUUUUAGGUGUGUUAUAGUCCUCUGUCGCAUGCGAGGGUCGGGAUCGAGGAACUCAGCACGCACCUCAGGGUGUCGGGGCCUUGGCCCACGUUUACGUGCUUAGGAUGCUGGCGUAAUGGCUUUAAACGACC
rnacentral:rRNA from 1 species